rfam:Myotis davidii contig168682, whole genome shotgun sequence.
GAAACACCUUUAUGGGGCAAGACUUGCUUCAGUGGGGCUUUGGUGCUCACUGAAUCUGCCCUCUGAGUGUGUCCCU